AGGCGAGGCGGCGAGAGCCCGAUGGAAGGAGCGGAACGGAGGAGCGGGAGAGGCGGUGAGGCGGCGUUAUACGAAAGGAGUCGAAGGCGGGCGGAAGGAGCCGAGGUCCGCUGAAGGGGGAGGCGUUCCUGGCUUUAUCUUUGGAGAGGCAUCCAGAUGCCGGUUAAUUCGCCAGCUUGUGGCUCCGAAUUGUGACAGAAGACAGGUGAUGGAUGGAUGGAUGGAUGGAUGGAUGGAUAGACGCUAGAUAUACAUAGAUGGUAGAUAGAUGUUCCUUGUAUAGUUUUAUAUUUUACAUUUUCUUUAUACAAUCUUGUAAACCUUUUUAUAUCAUUUAUUUUUUCUAAUGUUUCUAGAACAUUUAAUUUUAUGCAUGCAUAGUCAUUUGUUAAGCAUUUCUAUAUUAUUGAGAUAUUGUUUCUGAUUAUUUGCAUAUUUUGUAUAAUAUCGCAAUGAAAA
rnacentral:lncRNA from 1 species